CAAAUUAGCUACCAAAUAUUUGCUACUGCUAUUGAUUCAAGGUAGUUUCUGGCUACUUAGAUGCGGUUCUACUUCAAAUAAAACUUUCGUAGCAAAACUUAGCUGUUAUUGUUGGAAUCGACUAUGACAACCAGCCUAAAUAAAUAAAAAACAAAAACUUAAAUGAGUUAGUGCUUCACUCGCCAGUAGUUUUAUUUACUAUUAAAAGUAACCUCGAAAAUAAAUUAAAAACAAAACCAUAAAAUCAUUUUAGUAAAAAUAAAAUUAAAAAUAAAAGUAAAAAUAAAAGUUAGUAUAAUUUAUUUCCAUUAUUUGUUUUCUUAUUUGCUUUAUCUCUCUCCUCGUUGUUUUGAUCAGAAGCCACCGGCUCUACCUUGCAGUUCAUCGAACCACCGUUUCAAAACCCAAAGAAAAUCGCUUUCCCUCAUAAUCGAUUUAGCAAAACUUCUGAGUCUCGCUCUUGUUUCCUGACACCAACCAUUUCUAUCUAAAUCGCUUUCCCUCAUAAUCGAUUUAGCUUACUAGCUCUCGCUCUCUGAUUCACACAUCUCUCUGAUCUCCCCUAAUCCUUGUAUUUUCUCUGAUCUAUACCACCACUCUUCAAUAUUUUUACUUAUUCUAAAGAAUCGAUAGUGUGUCUAACACUAUAAUUGAUUUGGAUGUGAUUUUUAGGGUUCUUGUUUUUACGGUGUCUCUAGAGGCAAUCUCUAUAAUAGCAAGUGAAACAAUUUUGCCAAUGAUGGUAAAAUGAGAGAAUCAUAUAUAGAAAAGGUUAUUUACAUGGAAGCAUUGGAACUGAUAAAAGGUAAAGCUGGUGGGUUGGCUUACACAGAUAAUCUCUAUACAUGUUGGUCUCCUUGGAUUGCUUUUGUUGUUCCAGCAGGAUAUGUGGUUGCAUGAUUGUAAAGAUUGUUGGAGUAGCUACUAAGUUAGCUGCAGGAGUAUAGAUGACAAGGUACACAUGACUUUUUUCUUCUUUUGGUGCAUGUAAUUUUGAACUUUAGUUAAGUCAUUGUUGAAUUUGAAAGUUUGUUGGCAGUAACUGCUCAUGCAAUUGUCUCGUAGAUACAAUUUUGGACAUAGCAAAUUGUUUAUGAUGUAUAAGUUUGAGCAAAAGCUACUUUUUGUUUGAAUUCAAAUAUCAGAUCUUAUAGGUUGGGUUUUUUCCCUCUAGC